CUUAAAAUCAGUGGCGGUGCCGUCUGGCUUCAAGCGUAGUAAUACUUCUCGCUUUGGAGUCCGGGCGAGCGUCCUGCCAGAACCCCCAUAUUUUUUCAGGUUGACCUCGGAUCAGGUAGGGAUACCCGCUGAACUUAAGCAUAUCAAUAA
rnacentral:rRNA from 1 species